rnacentral:sRNA from 1 species
CCGCCCGCUCCGCCCAGGACCCCCUCCCAGGCCUCAGCUCCGGGCAACGUGGAGCGGGGCGGUCCUGGCGGGCCGAGACGCCGUCCUGCGCUGCGAGGGACCCAUCCCCGACGUCACCUUCGAGCUGCUGCGCGAGGGCGAGACGAAGCCCGUGAAGACGGUCCGCACCCCCGGGGCCGUGGCGAACCUCGAGCUGCUCUUCGUGGGGCCCCAGCACGCUGGCAACUACAGGUGCCGCUACCGCUCCUGGGUGCCCAACACCUUCGAAUCGGAGCUCAGCGACCCUGUGGAGCUCCGGGUGGCAGAAAGCUGAUGCAGCCGCGGGCCCAGGGUGCUGUUGGUGUCCUCAGAAGUGCCGGGGAUUCUGGACUAGCUCCCUCCCCUCCUGUUGCAGCAGAAGGCCGGGGUCUCUGGGGGGCUGGAGAAGGCUCCCUCAUUCUUCCCAGGAAUUAAUAAAUGUGAAGAGAGGCUCUGU